UACCAGGAAGCUGAGGAAAGUUAGUUGCAAAAGCGUCGGACUCGUAAUACAAGGUUCCAGGGUUCAAUUCCUGCCUUGGUAA